UUUGCCUAAAGGGAAGAGAAGCUGGAAAAAAACGGGAGCCAGAGCAGAAGUGAAUAUUAAGGUUAUAAUUAUUCAGAAAACGAAUUAUAUUCCUUAAGUUGAACCACAUUAAAGAUGAGAUGACAUUUGUUGUAAAACAAAAAUAUCUGGUGGAUUACAGUGGAUAAAAAAAAGACAAAAAACCAGUCUGGCUAUCUGCAAUAGCAGUGGAUGUUACCUAACAGACUGGUUUUUUUUGAGGCUUCUUCUGAUCCUGGAUUCCUGGUGUUCCUCCAACUGAAGGUGGAUUCCUCUCUGUUCGCCUUGGUGCCUGGUUCUCUGGUCUAUCCUUCAACUAACAGCGCUGCAACGGUUCCUUUUGGAGUUUGAUAUGGACGCUAAGUAUUGAAGGGGUGGUUAGACAGUUAAAAUAUUUGAGUGCACU